GUUCGCAAUCGCACUUUAAACACUAUGGAGACUGAAACGGCUACCACCUCCUCCUCACAGGAUUGUGCACGAAGCCCUGCAAAAAGCCCCCAAACAAAAACAUCUCGCCCUAGGUCUUCAAAAGCAUGGGAAUACUUUAAAUUUAGUCCAAAACGCAAAGGCAUUGUUAUUUGCAGUCUUUGCCAAAUGGAGUUGGCAUACCACACUAGCACAACAGCGAUGUUGGAGCAUUUAAAGCGGAGGCACCCCCUUGUCUCUCGUGGAGGGAACAAUGAUAAGACAAAGCAAAGAACCUUGCCGUCCUAUCUUGGGAAAGAGGCGCAAUGCACUCCACAGAAGGCAGCCGAAUCCAGCAAAAGAAUCUUGAGAUUUCCAGGUGAUGCAGACAGACCAGAGGAUGCUGACCACGAGAGACAGACCUAUUCCUAACAUCAGUGAACUUCAGCAUGGACUCAAAAGGAAAGGACAUACCUGAAGGACACAACUGCCUCACCAUUUUCUCUGAGGGGCAAGAAGAAAAUGAAAAGCUGAUAUGAGAUUAAAGACCAAUACAAGACAUUCACUAAGAAACUACACUUUUAUUGUGAAAACAAAGAUCUGCACACUGAAUAGUGUUUAGUCAAACAGGACCAUAAUUUGUUUGUGACAGCUGUGCUCACAGAUGCAGUUAGGUGGUUUCUUCAUAAGGCCAGGUCCUCCUCCCAGAGAAAGACCGCUCCACCUCAGUCCUCUCCAGCCAAACCCACAGACAGGACAACCGUCACACUGAGGUUUCUCCCAAAGUCCCUGCAGCUCUCUGGACUCCACGCUGUCUCAGUUGAUCCACACUGUGAAUAUGAGAGGGGAAAAUGUGUGUAAUGAAUGCUUUAGACAAUAAGAAAUAUGAAGUUAACUGUAAGUAGUGGCUCAGUUUGUUUAAAUAAACAAUACUAUUACUGUA